rnacentral:rRNA from 1 species
GAUGAACGCUGGCGGCGUGCCUAAUACAUGCAAGUCGAGCGAACAGACGAGGAGCUUGCUCCUCUGACGUUAGCGGCGGACGGGUGAGUAACACGUGGAUAACCUACCUAUAAGACUGGGAUAACUUCGGGAAACCGGAGCUAAUACCGGAUAAUAUAUUGAACCGCAUGGUUCAAUAGUGAAAGACGGUUUUGCUGUCACUUAUAGAUGGAUCCGCGCCGCAUUAGCUAGUUGGUAAGGUAACGGCUUACCAAGGCAACGAUGCGUAGCCGACCUGAGAGGGUGAUCGGCCACACCGGAACUGAGACACGGUCCAGACUCCUACGGGAGGCAGCAGUAGGGAAUCUUCCGCAAUGGGCGAAAGCUUGACGGAGCAACGCCGCGUGAGUGAUGAAGGUCUUCGGAUCGUAAAACUCUGCUAUUAGGGAAGAACAAAUGUGUAAGUAACUAUGCACGUCUUGACGGUACCUAAUCAGAAAGCCACGGCUAACUACGUG